CAUGUCUUUUUGAUUAUAAUUUAAAGUCUGGUCUGCCCUCUGAUGAAUUGAAUGGCCGCAGUAUAUUGACUGUGCGAAGGUAGCAUAAUCAUUAGUUUUUUAAUUGGAAACUGGAAUGAAUGGCUGGAUGAAAGAAGAUCUGUCUCUUUUGUAAUUUGAUAGAAAUUUAUUUUUGAGUUAAAAAGCUUAAAUUUUUUAUAAAGACGAGAAGACCCUAUAGAGUUUAACAUUGUAACGUCUGAAUAGAUUAGUUUUAUAUUGGUUUUGAAGUUUAUUUUGUUUUGUUGGGGUGAUGCAAAAAUUUGUUUAACUUUUUGUUUAUUUUAACAUUAGUAAGUGAUUGAUUGAUCCUGAAUAUUCGGAGUAUAAGAAUAAAUUACCUUAGGGAUAACAGCGUAAUUUUUCUUGAGAGUUCUUAUCGAAGGAAAAGUUUGCGACCUCGAUGUUGAAUUAAAAUUAAUCUUGGGCGCAGAAGCUUAGGAAUUGGGUCUGUUCGACCUUUAAAAUU
rnacentral:rRNA from 1 species